GGGGUUGCCUUCAAGGCCCGAGGCCAGGUGCCCUUGUCAGCCCGUUCAGAGUCCUGAGUCCUGGACCCACUAGGGAGAUGCACAGGACUGGGCACAAUUUCGGCAGGGCACAGAGGAAAACGUUCCCCUUGGCAUGCUCAGGCAGAAGAAGAUAAUAAUUAAGCCCAUCUGCAUUGCCUUUCACUGUCUUCAGGAAUUUAUGAAAUGAGACAGAAGAAUAGGCAUCCAAAAAGCUCCAUUCUGAACGUGGUAUGAUAUUUACAUCUUGUGAG
rnacentral:lncRNA from 1 species